rnacentral:lncRNA from 1 species
UAUUUUUAAACUCUACACAUAAACAUAAAAACUUCAAUCUUUUCAUAAUAAUAUUAAACUUAAACUAAAUUUUUUUCUAAGAAAAUCUAAUCUUAAAUUUAAAUCUAAACCUCAAACACAAAAUCCUAAAUCUACACCCUAUAUCUAAUACCCUAAACCCCAAACUUAAACCCUACUUACAAAAUCAUAAAUCUAAUCUUUUCAAACCUAUGAUAUAUACUUAUUAUUUAACUUCAAGUAUAUUCUAAAACUCAAGCCAUAUAUUUUAAUUCUAAAUCUUAACCCUAAACC